CUUGGGGAGUACGCCGCACGGUGAAACUCAACGGAAUUGACGGGGACCGCACAGCGACGACAUGUGGUUUAAUUCGAUGAUACGCGAGGAACUUACCCUGCGCUUGAACUGCAGCAGAACGAUUCAGACAUGAUGAGGCCCUCCGGGGCUGCUGUGGAGGUGCUGCAUGGUGUCGUCAGCUCGUGCCGUGAGGUGUCGGCUUAAGUGCCAUAACGAGCGCAACCCCUUCUUCCAGUUGCCAUCGGGUGAUGCCGGGCACUCUGGAGGGACUGCCGCCGUAAGGUGUGAGGAAGGCGGGGAUGACGUCAAAUCAGCACGGCCCUUACGUCCGGGGCUACACACGUGUUACAAUGGGGGGUACAGCGGGAUGCCACCGGGCGACCGGGUGCCGAUCCUGAAACCCUCCCGUAGUUCGGAUUGGGGUCUGCAACCCGACCCCAUGAAGCUGGAUUCGCUAGUAAUCGCGCAUCAGCCAUGGCGCGGUGAAUACGUUCCCGGGCCUUGUACACACCGCCCGUCAAGCCAUGAAAGCCGGGGGCGCCUGAAGUCCGUGACCGCGAGGGUCGGCCUAGGGUGAAACCGGUGAUGGGGCUAAGUCGUAACAAGGUAACCUAAUCUAGAUGCAC
rnacentral:rRNA from 1 species